AGUAAUUAAAAGUGUAGUACUGACAUCAAUAUACACUAAUAGACAAUGUAACAGAAUUGAGAGUCAGAAAUAGCCCUGUGAUAUAUGUGACUGAUUUUAACUAAAGUUACAAAUGUGGUUUAAUAGAGAAAGCAUAGUAGUUUCAAGAAAUGGUGGUAAAACUAUUGGAAAUCCUUAUGCAAAAACAAACCAAAUUUCCACCUACACUGAGCCACAUAUAAGAAUUAAUACAAAAUGGAUUACAGACCUAAGUGUAAAACUAAAACUCUAAACUGUGUAAAAAAAAAAAAGAGAGAAAAAUCUGUGAUCAUGGAUUGCCUAUAACAAAAGAACAAACUGAAAUGGCCUUGUUGCCUGGGGUGGCACCCGAGGUUCUUGGUCUCACGCUGAGGAAAUCAAGGACGCUGACACACCAAGGGUGUGAGGCUAGAGCAGAAGUUUAAUAGGCAAAAGAAAGAGACUAGCUCUCUCCUGCAGAGAGAGGUCCUGAAAAGAGUUCCCAUUCCACAGUGAAAUGCAAGCAUUUUUAUAAAUGAGCUAAUGGGAAGGGGGUAGCUUAUCUACACAUAGGGAGCAAAAAACCAGUUAGGACCAGGUGUUGCCAUCUGCACAGAGCGUGAAUCUCUGGCAUCCCCCACCCCAACCUUUUAUUAUGCAGGCAGGUCCUUGGCCUGAGCUACUCCACAUUGCUUAUCUCUUUCCUAUUGUGCAUGUGCUAAAUAAGGGGAGGUGGAGCCACCAUGGUGGACAUGCCUGGCCCCAGGUACCCCUUUCUCUCCGUGCAGCUGCAGGCAACCCCAACAACUCACAACAUGCAAGCUUCCAGCUUCCUUAUCUGAGUAUGUACUAAGGUCCACUGUGUUUACUUCACAUACUGUGUUUACUUCACAUACCCACCUUACGUAUGUGAAGCUUGCUGAUUACCCAGGAAGCUCCCCCUCUGUGCCAGAGCUGCUUCCUUAUACAUGUUUACAGCCCGAUCUUCCAGGCUGCUCCUUGUUAGAAGAGAAGUGAUUUCUUGGGCUGCUUUUUGUUAGAAGGGAAGUUCUACCGAGGACUCUGUCUAACUAUCGGCUUACCUAGUCUUUUUUUACCUCCUCUCUCAAAACCAUCAAAGAAAAAACUGAAAAAUUAGAUUUCAGCAAAAUUAAGAUUUUCUGUUCUUAAAAAGACGUUGUUAACAAAAUGAAAAACCAAAGUGUAAACCGGGAGAAAAUACAUGCAAGUUACCUAUCUGAUAAAGAUAUUGUACCCAGCAAACAUGAAGAACUCUCAAACCUCAACAACAAAAAAAUUCAAUUAAAAGAUGGGUAAGUUGGCCGGGUGCAGUGGCUCAUACUUGCAAUCCCAAUCUUUGGGAGGCUGAGGCAGGAAGAUUGCUUGAGCCCAGGAGUUCACGACAAGCCCAGGCAACAUAAUGAGACCUUGUUUCUACAAAAUUUUAAAAAAUUAGCCAGGCAUUGUGGCGUGUGCUCGUAAUUUCAGCUACUCAGAAGGCUGAGACAAGAAGACUGAGCGCAGGAGGUGGAGGCUGCAGUAGGCUGUGUGAUUGCACCACUGCACAACAGCCUGGGUGACAGAGUGAGACACUGUCUCCAA
rnacentral:lncRNA from 10 species